GACGAACGCUGGCGGCGCGCCUAACACAUGCAAGUCGAACGGAGCUGAGAGAAGCUUGCUUUUCUUAGCUUAGUGGCGAACGGGUGAGUAACGCGUGAGUAACCUGCCCUGGAGUGGGGGACAACAGUUGGAAACGACUGCUAAUACCGCAUAAGCCCACGAUCCGGCAUCGGAUUGAGGGAAAAGGAUUUAUUCGCUUCAGGAUGGACUCGCGUCCAAUUAGCUAGUUGGUGAGGUAACGGCCCACCAAGGCGACGAUUGGUAGCCGGACUGAGAGGUUGAACGGCAACAUUGGAACGGGGACACGGCCCAGACUCCUACGGGAGGAGGCAGUGGGGGAUAUGGCACAAUGGGGGAAACCCUGAGGCGGCGACGCCGCGGGGAGGAAGAAGGUUUUCGGAUUGUAACUCCUGUCGUUAGGGACGAUAAUGACGGUACCUAACAAGAAAGCACCGGCUAACUACGUG
rnacentral:rRNA from 1 species